rnacentral:rRNA from 1 species
UACCUUUUGAAUUUCCCCCUGCUCAGAUUGAACGCUGGCGGCAGGCCUAACACAUGCAAGUCGAGCGGAUGAGAGGAGCUUGCUCCUUGAUUUAGCGGCGGACGGGUGAGUAAUGCCUAGGAAUCUGCCUGGUAGUGGGGGAUAACGUUCCGAAAGGAACGCUAAUACCGCAUACGUCCUACGGGAGAAAGCAGGGGACCUUCGGGCCUUGCGCUAUCAGAUGAGCCUAGGUCGGAUUAGCUAGUUGGUGAGGUAAUGGCUCACCAAGGCGACGAUCCGUAACUGGUCUGAGAGGAUGAUCAGUCACACUGGAACUGAGACACGGUCCAGACUCCUACGGGAGGCAGCAGUGGGGAAUAUUGGACAAUGGGCGAAAGCCUGAUCCAGCCAUGCCGCGUGUGUGAAGAAGGUCUUCGGAUUGUAAAGCACUUUAAGUUGGGAGGAAGGGCAUUAACCUAAUACGUUAGUGUUUUGACGUUACCGACAGAAUAAGCACCGGCUAACUUCGUGCCAGCAGCCGCGGUAAUACGAAGGGUGCAAGCGUUAAUCGGAAUUACUGGGCGUAAAGCGCGCGUAGGUGGUUCGUUAAGUUGGAUGUGAAAGCCCCGGGCUCAACCUGGGAACUGCAUCCAAAACUGGCGAGCUAGAGUACGGUAGAGGGUGGUGGAAUUUCCUGUGUAGCGGUGAAAUGCGUAGAUAUAGGAAGGAACACCAGUGGCGAAGGCGACCACCUGGACUGAUACUGACACUGAGGUGCGAAAGCGUGGGGAGCAAACAGGAUUAGAUACCCUGGUAGUCCACGCCGUAAACGAUGUCAACUAGCCGUUGGGUUCCUUGAGAACUUAGUGGCGCAGCUAACGCAUUAAGUGACCGCCUGGAGACGCCCC